rnacentral:rRNA from 1 species
AUGGACGCAACCGAGCGCCGCCUCCGCGCCGUCUCCGCCCACCUCCAGCCCCAAGCAACCGCCGCCCGCCGCACCUCCGAUAGCCUCGCCGCCAAUCCCACCGCAGGGGAGUACGCCCACGUGCUUGGCUACAGCGCUGUCCUCCCCGAGAAGUUGCAGACUGGAAAAUGGAACGUGUACCGAUCUGCACAUUCACCUAUAACUCUGAUAGAUAGAUUUUCAGACUACCCAGACAUUGGGACGUUGCACGAUAACUUUGUGAAUGCAGUUGAGACUUUCAGAGACUGUAGAUACCUAGGUACAAGGGUCCAUGCAGAUGGAACAAUUGGAGACUACAAAUGGAUGACUUAUGGAGAAGCUGGCACAAGCAGGACUGCAAUAGGUUCUGGUCUUAUUUGUCAUGGAAUACCUAAAGGCGCACGUGUUGGUCUGUAUUUUAUAAACAGACCUGAGUGGACCAUAGUUGACAAUGCUUGUUCUGCGUAUUCAUAUGUUUCUGUGCCACUAUAUGAUACUCUUGGUCCAGAUGCAGUUCAGUUCAUUGUGAACCAUGCAUCAGUAGAGGCUAUCUUCUGUGUUCCUGAAACACUAAGCACUUUGUUAAGCUUUAUAACUCAAAUGCCUUGUGUGCGCCUUAUCGUGGUAGUUGGUGGAAUCGAGGAGAAUAUGCCAUCUUCACCUGCAGCUGCUGGAAUGGAAAUCAUAACCUACUCCAUGCUACACAGACAGGGACAUAUGAGUCCCCAACCCUUUCGGCCUCCAAAACCUGAAGAUGUUGCCACUAUCUGCUACACUAGUGGCACUACUGGCACACCAAAGGGAGCUGUUCUUUCUCAUGCGAAUUUCAUUGCAAAUGUAGCAGGCCAGGACUUGGGCGUUAAGUUUUACCCCUCGGACGUGUACAUCUCAUAUCUACCUUUGGCACACAUCUACGAGAGAACUAACCAAAUAUGGCUCGUUCAUCGCGGUGCUGCCGUUGGGUUCUACCAAGGGGAUAAUUUGAAGCUGAUGGAUGAUCUUAAUACUCUGAAACCAACAGUAUUUGCGAGUGUUCCCCGGUUAUAUAACAAAAUUUAUGCUGCAAUUACAAAUGCUGUGAAGGAGUCUGGUGGGUUGAAAGAACGAUUAUUUCAUGCUGCAUAUGAUGCUAAGAGGCAAGCUAUUAUCAAUGGACGGAAUCCAUCCCCAGUGUGGGAUAAGUUGGUAUUUAACAAAAUAAAAGCUAGGCUGGGUGGACGAGUAAGGGUUAUGUCUUCAGGUGCUUCUCCAUUGUCGCCAGAUGUAAUGGAAUUCCUCAGAAUAUGCUUUGGUGGUGAUAUUCUUGAAGGCUACGGAAUGACGGAAACAUCUUGUGUCAUUACUUUAAUGGAUGUUGGUGAUAUAUCAAUUGGUCAUGUUGGAUCUCCCAAUCCUGCUUGUGAGGUUAAACUUGUGGAUGUCCCUGAGAUGAACUACACAUCUGAGGAUCAACCAUACCCUCGUGGAGAAAUAUGUGCCCGGGGACCUAUAAUAUUCCAGGGUUACUAUAAAGAUGAAGUUCAAACCAGAGAGGUCAUUGAUGAGGAUGGUUGGUUGCAUACUGGGGACAUAGGUUUGUGGCUGCCUGGAGGGCGCCUAAAGAUUAUAGACAGGAAAAAGAACAUUUUCAAGUUAGCUCAAGGAGAAUACAUAGCUCCGGAGAAGAUCGAGAAUGUUUAUGCCAAGUGCAAGUUCAUUGCCCAGUGCUUUGUAUAUGGCGAUAGCUUUAAUUCUUGCCUAGUUGCCGUCGUAGCAGUUGAGCCAGAGGUGUUGAAGAGUUGGGCUGCAUUAGAAGGAAUCCAGUAUGAGGAUUUAAGACAGCUCUGUUCUGAUCCCAGAGCAAGAGCUGCUGUGCUGGCUGACAUGGAUUCUAUUGGGAAGGAAGCACAGCUAAGAGGUUUUGAGUUUGUCAAAGCUGUUACUCUUGUUGCUGAACCAUUCACACUAGAAAAUGGCCUCCUCACCCCAACAUUCAAGGUCAAAAGACCGCAAGCAAAGGCGUAUUUUGCAAAAGAAAUCACAGAUAUGUAUGCACAAUUGCUUGAUGCAGAGUCAGCCAAGCCUAAGUUGUAA